UCUACGUCGGCGACCGGCGCACGGGUGCGUAACGCGUAUGCAACCUGCCCAUUACAGGGGGAUAACACUGAGAAAUCGGUACUAAUACCCCAUAACAUCCAGGGAGGCAUCUUCUUGGGUUGAAAACUCCGGUGGUAAUGGAUGGGCAUGCGUUGUAUUAGUUAGUUGGUGGGGUAACGGCUCACCAAGACAACGAUACAUAGGGGGACUGAGAGGUUAACCCCCCACAUUGGUACUGAGACACGGACCAAACUCCUACGGAAGGCAGCAG
rnacentral:rRNA from 1 species